AGAGUUUGAUCCUGGCUCAGGACGAACGCUGGCGGCGUGCCUAAUACAUGCAAGUCGAGCGGAUCAAAGGGAGCUUGCUCCCUGAGAUCAGCGGCGGACGGGUGAGUAACACGUGGGUAACCUGCCUGUAAGACUGGGAUAACUCCGGGAAACCGGGGCUAAUACCGGAUAACUCAGUUCCUCGCAUGAGGAACUGUUGGAAGGUGGCUUUUCGCUACCACUUACAGAUGGACCCGCGGCGCAUUAGCUAGUUGGUGAGGUAACGGCUCACCAAGGCGACGAUGCGUAGCCGACCUGAGAGGGUGAUCGGCCACACUGGGACUGAGACACGGCCCAUACUCCUACGGGAGGCAGCAGUAGGGAAUCUUCCGCAAUGGACGAAAGUCUGACGGAGCAACGCCGCGUGAGUGAAGAAGGUUUUCGGAUCGUAAAACUCUGUUGUUAGGGAAGAACAAGUGCCGUUCGAAUAGGGCGGCGCCUUGACGGUACCUAACCAGAAAGCCACGGCUAACUACGUGCCAGCAGCCGCGGUAAUACGUAGGUGGCAAGCGUUGUCCGGAAUUAUUGGGCGUAAAGCGCGCGCAGGUGGUUUCUUAAGUCUGAUGUGAAAGCCCACGGCUCAACCGUGGAGGGUCAUUGGAAACUGGGGAACUUGAGUGCAGAAGAGGAAAGUGGAAUUCCAAGUGUAGCGGUGAAAUGCGUAGAUAUUUGGAGGAACACCAGUGGCGAANGCGACUUUCUGGUCUGUAACUGACACUGAGGCGCGAAAGCGUGGGGAGCAAACACGAUUAGAUACCCUGGUAGUCCACGCCGUAAACGAUGAGUGCUAAGUGUUAGAGGGUUUCCGCCCUUUAGUGCUGCAGCUAACACAUUAAGCACUCCGCCUGGGGAGUACGGUCGCAAGACUGAAACUCAAAGGAAUUGACAGGGGGCCCGCACAAGCGGUGGGAGCAUGAGGAUUUAAUUUCGAAGCAACGCGAAGAACCUUACCACGUCUUGACAUCGUCUGACUACCCUUAGAAGAUAGGGGCUUUGCCCCUUCAGGGGACAGAGUGAC
rnacentral:rRNA from 1 species